GAUGAACGCUGGCGGCGUGCCUAAUACAUGCAAGUCGAGCGAACGGACGAGAAGCUUGCUUUUCUGAUGUUAGCGGCGGACGGGUGAGUAACACGUGGAUAACCUACCUAUAAGACUGGGAUAACUUCGGGAAACCGGAGCUAAUACCGGAUAAUAUUUUGAACCGCAUGGUUCAAAAGUGAAAGACGGUCUUGCUGUCACUUAUAGAUGGAUCCGCGCUGCAUUAGCUAGUUGGUAAGGUAACGGCUUACCAAGGCAACGAUGCAUAGCCGACCUGAGAGGGUGAUCGGCCACACUGGAACUGAGACACGGUCCAGACUCCUACGGGAGGCAGCAGAAGGGAAUCUUCCGCAAUGGGCGAAAGCCUGACGGAGCAACGCCGCGUGAGUGAUGAAGGUCUUCGGAUCGUAAAACUCUGUUAUUAGGGAAGAACAUAUGUGUAAGUAACUGUGCACAUCCUGACGGUACCUAAUCAGAAAGCCACGGCUAACUACGUG
rnacentral:rRNA from 1 species